rnacentral:rRNA from 1 species
AUUGAACGCUGGCGGCAUGCCUUACACAUGCAAGUCGAACGGCAGCACGGGGCAACCUGGUGGCGAGUGGCGAACGGGUGAGUAAUGUAUCGGAACGUACCUUUCAGUGGAGGAUAACGUAGCGAAAGUUACGCUAAUACCGCAUAUUCUGUGAGCAGGAAAGCAGGGGAUCUUAGGACCUUGCGCUGAUUGAGCGGCCGAUAUCAGAUUAGCUAGUUGGUGAGGUAAAGGCUCACCAAGGCGACGAUCUGUCGCGGGUCUGAGCGGAUGAUCCGCCAGACUGGAGCUGAGACACGGUCCAGACUCCUACGGGAGGCAGCAGUGGGGAAUUGUGGACAAUGGGCGCGAGCCUGAUCCAGCCAUGCCGCGUGAGUGAAGAAGGCCUUCGGGUUGUUAAGCUCUUUCAGCCGGGAAGAAAACGCAUGGGUUAAUACCCUGUAUGGAUGACGGUACCGGAAUAAGAAGCACCGGCUAACUACGUGCCAGCCGCCGCAGUAACAC